rnacentral:rRNA from 1 species
AGAUUAAACUGAAGAGUUUGAUCCUGGCUCAGAUUGAACGCUAGCGGGAUGCCUUACACAUGCAAGUCGAACGGCAGCACGGACUUCGGUCUGGUGGC